rnacentral:rRNA from 1 species
GACGAACGCUGGCGGCGUGCUUAACACAUGCCAGUCGAACGGAAAGGCCCUGCUUUUGUGGGGUGCUCGAGUGGCGAACGGGUGAGUAACACGUGAGUAACCUGCCCUUGACUUUGGGAUAACUUCAGGAAACUGGGGCUAAUACCGGAUAGGAGCUCCUGCUGCAUGGUGGGGGUUGGAAAGUUUCGGCGGUUGGGGAUGGACUCGCGGCUUAUUAGCUUGUUGGUGGGGUAGUGGCUCACCAAGGCGUUGACGGGUAGCCGGCCUGAGAGGGUGACCGGGCAGACUGGAACUGAGACACGGUCCAGACUCCUACGGGAGGCAGCAGGGGGGAAUCGGCCACAAUGGGCGAAAGCCUGACGGAGCAACGCCGCGUGCAGGACGAAGGCCUUCGGGUUGUAAACUGCUUUUAUAAGUGAGGAAUAUGACGGUAACUUAUGAAUAAGGAUCGGCUAACUACGUG